UAGAGCCUCCCUGAAGGGUGUGACGUAGAAUGGGGCAUUGUAAGAUCCAUUAAUGACACUAUGGAUAAAGAUAUCAGGAUUCAUGCUCCUAAUGAAAUUUAGAACAGCAUCCCUUGGGCUGUUUACCACAACUGUCUCGUCAAGUAGGUUUUUAAACCGGAACAGACAAUUCACAGCAAGCACUUCAUCUCUCUUGACAUUGAGUUCCUCAUAUUGGAUAGCUUCCCAUUUCUUUGCGAUGCCAUUGUACUCGAAAGGAACAUUAUACCACUCACAAUACUUUGCCAAACGGUGGCCUGUCUCUUGGACUCGAAAGGAAUAUUACAAAGAUGAAGUAUUGAGGUAGUUCAGCUACAAAGCCGACUAGUAUAUUAGAGUGCAACAUGGUAUAUUAGAGUACAACAUGGAUAACCAGAAUACUCAAAUACGAAAUGAAAUAGUACCUCUGCCUAGUUUGUUGAUCAUCCUUUCUAUCACAAUUCUCAAAGAAGUUCAAACAAGCAUAUUCUACAAGAUUCCUACGCUGGCACCCAACAAGAAGAAGCAUACACAAUUCGGCCCUUCCAUCCUUGAAGCAUCCAAUCACUAUCUUGAUCAACUACAAAAUCUUUGUGGUACCAUGCCUUCACCUUAUCCUUAAGAAUCUUCACUAAAUCUUGGUCCAAUUGCAACGGCUGUAAACCAGCCCUCAUGCAUCGAACCUGCCACUGCUUAUAUGUCUCAGGCCUCUCAACCCGCUCUACGCCCUCACAUGCUAUUACAUUCAUAGCUUCCCUGCCAUAGAACUCACUCUCAAACCUCAACCUCUCUUCAUUGUCACGGGGUAUAUUAAUAUCAAAUGCAUCAUACAAGGAAGAGUAGUGGAAGAGAGCCUCCCGAAAUCGAGUGACAAAGAAAGGGGCAUUGUAGGAACCAUUGAUAAUAGAGUGGACAAAAAUAUCUGGUUUCAUCCUUCUGAUUAGUUGUAGAACACCAUCCCUUGGACAGUUCACUUCAACGGUCUCAUCAAGUAGGUUCUUGAACCGUAACAUACAGUUCACAGCAAGCACCUCAUUCCUUUCAGUCUUAAGGUCCUCCAGUUGGAUGGAUUCCCAAUCUUGUGAAGCUAUAGCAUUGUACUCAAAAGGUACAUUAAAACGCUCACAAUAUCUUGCCAAGCGACGUCCAGUCUCUUCAAUCCACUCUGCUGGACGAAACCCAGGUUGGGGAACCUCUAUCCCGGUAAUGCGUAGCUUCGGAGGUCCACCACGUCUCUUUGAAAGAUGCUGGAUGAGGAAUGGCCACUGGAAACCAUACAGGAUACCAAAAUCGACAAUAUGAAGGGUUGUUGCUUUCUCAGCCAUCUUCAAAAUCAUCUUGUUUUUGAAGAGCAUACACAUUCUCUUGAAAGGGCAAGCUGAAAGAUGAACGUGGUAAGAUUUCAACACAUCAACGGCUGAUGACCUUUUGGCAAGGGACGUAUAAAACUUUUGGGUUCCGGUGUCAGUACCACCCAUACGAGCCUCAAGACCAUUCGCAAAGAAGUGAGCCAACCUUUGAGAUCCAUCACCGUUAGGAGAAGCGUGCUGCCUAACCUGCUUUAACAGUUCACUAGUGGUCCUAAAAUCAUUGGUAGACACGGCUUGUGCACACAAAAUCAGGAGAUUCUGCAAAUCCACAGUUUCCUUCUUCUUUCCUUGUUUCUUACCACGAGCCUUCCCGCCAUUACCAUUAGAUCCUUGUGGCUGUCCAGGCUGCAAGGUCUUGCUUGCUUCAUUCUUAAAAGCAACAUUGCCACACUGAGAUUCAUUAUUUCCGCCAGUAGACAGCAACACCUUGUCAAACAUCUCAGACAAUUCACUCUCUUCAGUCUUUUCUAUAUAAACUGCAGACUGCUUGCUACUCCUCCCUUCUUCAAGAUCAACAUCUUCCCGCUCGCGAUUCUUUCUUCCCUUUGACCCAUUAGGUGAGUUCUUCCGCUCACUCUUUUCUUUCUUGACAGUAACCAUCGGCACACUUGCUUUCACUUCUGGAGACACUGUGUUGCUUUCCAGAUCAACAAGCAGCUGAGUGCUUUUCGGAAGGAAUUUACUAGCUUCCUCUAACCCUCUCUGGAAUUGCAAGAUAGAAUCACUAUCUGUAUAUAUAUUCUGAGCCACAAACUCUUCUACAGAGGAGCCCUGUAGCAUAUCAUCAAGGCGCUGCCCACCACCAACAUGCCGCCUAUCACCAACACUAGUCAUGCGAUUUUCCAGAGGAACAGACAACUGUGAACUCGAAUGUGAAUUGAACUGGAAAGGGUUGUCACUGGGAAGGGUAGUUUGUGGAAAAGAAGAUUUUGGAUCUCCCGAAUCGCCAACCCGUUGAGGAUCAUUGGAAUUGCUAGUACCAGGACUAGGACUAUUAUUACUACCACUACAAUCACUACAACUCCCAGAAUUAUUACCACCAGGACUCUCAACAUUCGGAUUGAUAUGAAGUGGUUGCUGAUUGGGUGAAAAGGGGUACCGUUGACCAAGAACAUCAUAGAACGAUUUCUCAGUCACACGAAGACCCAACGGAUCAAAGAACAUGCAAGGCUUUUUCUCUAUGUUCUCUUCCAAAAGAAUCUGGUUUACGUAUUUGAAAAUAGCUUCAGAAAAAUCACUGUCAUCGGAGGAACUGUCUGCUCCUCCGACGCUCACAGUCGUAGGCAGAGACAAUGAGCCUCCAUCAGGUGGACUCAAACUUUUAGAUGGAACAAAUGACUCUCCACUUGUGGUCAAACUGACUUUAGGAACAAUAUUACCCUGUUCGAAAUCGGGCGGAAGGGAAAAAUGAUUGUCCACAAAGUUAAGAUCCGGAGAGAACUGGUUAAAUUGGUAUUCAUUUGUGAGAUUUGAGAAUUGAGUUGAAUCAGGUGAGAAGGCUAGAUCAUCAAUACUGAAACCAUUCAAGUAAUCAGGACUUCCAUUGACAGUUGGAUGAUCCAUAACGAUCACAGAAAAAUACCUGGGUACAAUUCUAAACUCUAAAACCCUCUAAAACUUAAGAUUCUACCCACAAAAGUGAUGAAAUUUAAAGAUUUAAUCUCACAGGAACCCCAUCAAGGAACAAAGCAGGCUAGCAAGAACAAAUCAGAAGCAAAAAUGAAAAACCUCAAAAACCCAUCAGAGUUUUUGCAGAUUUAUUGCACAGGAAGCAAAGGUUUUGAAGCGGAAGGCUCUAAGAACAAGCAAAGAUCGAACCUUUACUGAAUCGGAUGACAGAAAACAACAUGAACAGAAAAGUACUGGCGUACCUUGAAGAAAAACGUUGAGACUCGAAAACAAAAGGCGGCGAUCUCAGGUUCGGGGAACCAAACUAACAGCACCGGUGAGGUUUUCUGAUAUUUAUAAGCGGGUGGGGCCGAGCGGCGUCACGUACUUUCUUGGAGGAGCAUAGCAAGUGUCAGUCAGAGAUAGUCCUGAACUCUUUUUCCAACCGUGCUGAUCGGUCCGUGAAUAAGUCAUGCACAUGUUUGACUUUGCAACCAUGGACUUGGUCCCACUCUGUGCAUUGUUUUUUCUUUCGAUAAUCCCUGUCGUUUUCUUUUGUUCUUUCAGUGUUACAGAAUAUGGCAAUGGGACCUGGAGAGUGGAAAAUUCUUAAAAUAAUGUUCUUGACAGUUCAUAUACUAUAGAACUUUGCUUGCUUUUGAAUUUUGACAUACCCGGAUUGGAUCAGUUUUAAAAUUAUUAUCAAACUAAUUAUAAUAAAUUGAUUUGGUUUAGUUUGGUUGAACUAAAUUGCUGAUAAAGUGCAAUUAAUGUGAAUGACUUGGAUAUGUACACAAUCAUUUUUUAGUAUGAACCGAUUCCAACAUAAGACGAAUUUAAACUCAAAACUGACUUGAACGGGAGAAAAUACACACAAUCAAUAAAAAAUGAAAUUCGUGCUUCAAUAUCAGCAUAACAAUUGUUACUUAUAUUGUUAAAAAAUCCACAUAAGAUGAUUGAUCCAUUGAAAGCUACAAAGUAUGUUGAAACAAAUCCAUCAAAACAAAAGCCCUAAACAUAAGACCAAGAACACCACUUGCUUUCAUGAGGAGCUAAUAUCGUUGUUAACAACCGGAUAGACAUUGCCACUGAGGUAGAAAUCACCACCAAAUUCAAAAGUAGCGUCCUAAAUACCGCAAUACCAACCGUGUCGAUUGAUAACUCGAAAAAUAUAUUUGGAAAGAGAACAGAGAUGGAAGGUGAGGAUUGCCCAACUUAUAAGUUAUAAGCUCAUUCAAACGAGAAAAACUUGCAUACAAUAUGCCUUUGCGUAUCCAAAAUUAUGUGAAUACACAACCACAAUAUAUGAUACAUUUAAUGAUUACAUAUAAGAUUUCUCCAUCGAAAUACAUUGCGCUCUAUUCUCUAAGCCAAUGUUGAUGCCCAUAUUUCAGUCUGCUCACACUUUCACACACAUGCAUAAGUCCAAUUCCUUCACACAUUUUUAGAUGUAAAUUUGCAAUAGAUCUUGGGUAUUUUAUGAGGGUUAGAGUUUGACUUUAGAACCCUUAGAAAAAAAUUGAAAAAUCCAAUAUUUUUGUGAGCUAUAUUUGUUUGCUUGGUUGAAACUUUGACAUGGUCAAACUAGCUCAAGGCUACCGGUGAUAGAAAAACCACCGGUUGCUCAUAAGAAACUUGACUUGACAAACAAGCCUCUGUCUUGAAGAGCACGAAUGCUUAUUCCUUUUCAUCUUUUUUAAUUAAUUUACUAAUCAUUUCCUUAAUCCCGUUCACAUUAUCAUGAUACUGUGAAUAACAUUAAAAAUUGAUAUGUCUUCUGACUGUGAGCUAAUCGGGUGGAAAAUAGAGGUUGAUGAUAACAGGAAAGGUAUUGCUUUCCUUAUAUUUUAUCAGAAGAAAACACUGAUUUUGCUUCUUAAUCCCUCUAAUCAUGGUAAAGGUCAAAACACAAUAUGAAUCUCUCACGUGUUGCUUUGGCCUCAAGAAUACAGACAGAUUUUUCAAUGUGUUCAGAAUUUAAAGUGGUAUUUAACGUGUUAUUAUAUAAGUCAUGAAAUAUUUGUAUUAAAAAUUUAAAAUUUAAUCUAAAAAUAAAAAUUCCCUCUAUUAAUAUGAUAACACGUGAUGUACUACUAGUAUUUCGAAACAAUGACAAAUUUAUGCAAUAAUAUGAGAGAUUAUCAAAAUUCGGGGGCUUGGAAAUUUUAUUCAAAUAAACAGGGAAAAUGAUCAACAAAAAGAUAAAAUAAAUUACUAAAUUGAGAAAAAUGCUGGCAAUCUUUGCAUAAACUUUUGUAUUUGGACAUUUUGACUUCUUUAACUGACACUUGUUUACACAAAAAAUAAUAAUAAUAAGACCUUUAAAGUCUUUUGAAAUUAAAUCAUUUAUUUUUCAUUAUUAAUUCAUAGUCAAAAUCUUGUUUUUUGUGUAAUAAAAUAACACAUGUCAUUUAAAGAAGUAUAAAUAUCCAAAUCCAAAGGUUAGUGAAAAUGCCGGUAUCACUUCUCGAAGGGAGCAUUAUUUUCUCACCUCCAUAACUAUGGUGUAUGCUCACCAUACAUCUCAUCAUUUGAUACGUGUCAUUUCAACUAACUCUGAUUAACUUUAAUAUUAAAUGUUCCUUUUCCAAUUUUGAAAAAAAAAAAUUAACUACAGUUAAGUAAAAUGACACGUAUCAAAUGAUGUGAUAUAUGAUGAGAAUACACUAUAAUUUAGGGUAACAAGCAAAAAUACACCCCUCCCUGAAAUAUGUUGUCUGUUAAUUGAUAAUUCGUUAGUAAAUAAACAAACAAAUACAUAGCAUGGUCGACAGAAAGCCUCGGAAAUUAUGUGCAUGUCUUGAUGUGGCAUCACAUUAAGAACUUAAUAUUGGUCAAGGGUCAAUUUGUAUUAUGUUUUGUCUUUGAGCAAGUAAAAGUUCAACAACGUCAAUGUAGCCACCGAGCACAUAGGAAACGGCUCCAAAUACAAUCGGGAACUGUCAAACUCGGUUGUUCUAACUUCUAAAUUUCUAAUACAAAUCAAUGUCCGUGUAAACACAUGGAACUUGGAUACCCGCACGAGUCGAAAGAUGACCAAAGUAGGCGUUCAUAACGAACAACAUGAUCAACUGACCCUGCAUUACUAAGAAGCGAUAGAGAAUAGAUAAUCCCUUAUUUGUUAAUACAAGGCUCAUUAAAUAUAGAUCCAACUCAGUCACUCUACACAAGGGGUCAAAGAGAGGCUCAAACCCGUACUCAAGCUUUGCUUGAUUUUGACCCAACUUGGUUGAACUGCUUUUGUGCAUCAACAAAUUUAAUGUUUAUCUUUAUUAAUAAAAAAUAAUUGAUCGAACUAGAGACUUAAGGGGGGGUGUAUUCAAUUGUGAUUUUGAAGGAUUUUCAUUCUUUUAAUGAAUUUAGGAGUAUUCAAUCAGGAUUUUAAGUGAUUCUCUGAUAUUCAAGGUGUGUUCAAUUAUAAUUUUAAGAUAGUUUAUUAAAAUCUUUAGAAAUCCGGGUGUAUUCAAUUAGGAUUUUAAGAAAGUUUAUAACAUUUCAGGUGUAUUCAAUUAGAAAUUUAUGUUAAAAAUUUUGAGAAAGUUAAGGAAUUAGAGGGAAUUAGAGAGAUUUCGUAGUGUAUUUUAAGCAUCCACAAAUCUCAUCUCUUCCCAUGAGAUUUCGAGGGAAUUGAAUCAAAAUUUUAUAUGGAAUCUCUACAAAACAAUUAAAUUCCAUAAAAAUCUAUAGAUGUAUAAAUCCAUUAAAAUCUUUCAAAUUCUCAAUCCAUUGGUUCAUUUGUUUUGGGACCUUAUGAGAUGUGAAGUGAUUUGGACCUCCACAGAGACUAGAGAGAGCCGACAUGCAAUUUGCAAGACCAUGGGACCGCAUGCAGCCAGCAUCUUUCUAGCUUCUUCUCGGCGUUCUUUCUCUCAUGUCGCUUUCGUUCUCUCGUGUGAACGUGUUGGUGUACGGCACGCACACAUAAGGACAUAAGGAUAUGAGUAUGCGACAGGGACCUCCAAGACAAACCAUGAUCGUCGACUAAGCACCCUUUUGCCACCGUUAUCUCCUUGCCCUUUGUUCUCAAAUCAAAACCACAAUGGCAAGUACAAUGAACACCAUUCAAAGCCGAAGCUUUUUUUUUUUUCUUUGUUGUUGACGAUGUUGUCACUGUUCUAAAUAUCGUUAGAUAUUAAAACGCAUAAUGUAAGACCAUAUAAAUUGUAUUAAAAAACAUAGAAUGCAAUGGAUUUUCUACUCAAAUUCAUUUAUCAUAUAACAUAUUAAAAAAGAUUGGAUGAACGGGAAAAGGGUAACCAAAUCCUCCGGGGCAUAUUCCAUAAAAGUAAAAAUUGCGUUUAUUUGACGAUUAGAUUCAACUGAGACAAAUACAAAACGAAAACUACAAUGUUCAACAUUACAAUAGUUCAUCAUUAAUCAAAUUUCUAAUACGAAGUUAUGCAGUGCUAGAAGUUACCGAUAAGAAACCAGUACAUUGUCACCCAGACAGCACGGUGAUUGCAAAAUACAGCACUAUUUUUACAUCUGUAUAGAACUACAGAAGCCUAUUUGUGCAAGUCAAUUCAGUUCUAAACAGCAUGCAUUUCAAGACCUAGACGGUACCCAACAGGAGGAACUGUAGAGAAUUCUGCCCUUCCAUCCUUGCAGCAUCCAGUUUCCAUCUUCAUCAACCAUGAAAUCACGGUGGUACCCCAGUUUCACCUUGGCCCUUAAUUUGUUCAUGAGUUCACGGUUCAAUGGCAAUUGUUUGAACCCAGCCCUCAUGUUCCGAGCCUGCCACUGCUUAUAUGUCUCAGGCCUCACAACUCUCUCAGAGCCCUCGCAAGCUACUGUGUUUACAACCUCUCGUCCAAGGAACUCUUCCUCAAACAUCAAUCUCAUCUGAUCCUCACGAGAUAAAUUGGUAUCAAACAUAUCAAACAUUGCAGAGAAGUGGAAUAGAGCCUCCCUGAAGCGUGUGACGAAGAAUGGGGCAUUGUAAGAUCCAUUAAUGACACUAUGGAUAAAGAUAUCAGGAUUCAUGCUCCUAAUGAAAUUUAGAACAGUAUCCCUUGGGCUGUUUACCACAACUGUCUCGUCAAGUAGGUUUUUAAACCGGAACAGACAAUUCACAGCAAGCACUUCAUCUCUCUUGACUUUGAGUUCCUCAUAUUGGAUAGCUUCCCAUUUCUUUGCUAUGCCAUUGUACUCGAAAGGAACAUUAUACCGCUCACAAUACUUUGCCAAACGAUGCCCUG
rnacentral:lncRNA from 1 species